CCCUUAGAUGUCCUGGGCCGCACGCGCGCUACACUGAGUGUAUGAGAUACGAGUCUGCCUGGUCCGGCAAGGUCUAGGUAAUCGCUAAAAGACACAUCAUGCUUGGGAUAGAUUAUUGCAAAUAUUAAUCUUGAACGAGGAAUUCCUAGUAAGCGCAAGUCAACAGCUUGCGUUGAUUACGUCCCUGCCCUUUGUACACACCGCCCGUCGCUACUACUGAUUGGAUGUUUAAGCGAGGUUCUCGAACUGCUAGCGACUUAGCUUCGGUGAGGUCGCAGUGUGGGAAGUGAACCUAGCUUUGGUGUCUAGAGGAAGUAAAAGUCGUAACA
rnacentral:rRNA from 1 species